rnacentral:rRNA from 1 species
CCUACGGGUGGCAGCAGUGAGGAAUAUUGGUCAAUGGACGAGAGUCUGAACCAGCCAAGUAGCGUGAAGGAUGACUGCCCUAUGGGUUGUAAACUUCUUUUAUAAAGGAAUAAAACGAGGCACGUGUGCCUUUUUGCAUGUACUUUAUGAAUAAGGAUCGGCUAACUCCGUGCCAGCAGCCGCGGUAAUACGGGGGAUGCAAGCGUUGUCCGGAAUCAUUGGGCGUAAAGAGUUCGUAGGUGGCACGGUAAGUCUGGUGUUAAAUGCAGAGGCUCAACCUCUGUUCGGCACUGGAUACUGGCGAGCUUGAAUGCGGUAGAGGUAAAGGGAAUUCCUGGUGUAGCGGUGAAAUGCGUAGAUAUCAGGAGGAACAUCGGUGGCGUAAGCGCUUUACUGGGCCGUAAUUGACACUGAGGAACGAAAGCCAGGGUAGCAAAUGGGAUUAGAUACCCCUGUAGUC